UUUCUCCUUUCGUUUUUUUUUUCUUACCUGUUUUAUUUCGCAAAAAGUACAUCCGUUCAAAUUUAUGCAGUGAAAACUUUAUUUGUAACUGUCGGAACCACAUGUUUUGAUUGGCACUGUGACGUCAGAUGAAGCCAUGAAGAAUAAAGUCAUACACAUCUGGGACAGCAUGACGGUGCAUCACUCACCUGAAAUGACUGCUGAUUGACCAGGCUGUAAACUAAAAUAAAGCCUUGCCCAUUUUUAAUAUAAAGAUCUCGCAUGGAGGCAAACUGCUCGGUCCCAGCGGUGUCCAGAAUCUCC